UUAGGAAUCUUGCGCAAUGGGGGAAACCCUGACGCAGCAACGCCGCGUGAAGGACGAAGGCCUUCGGGUUGUAAACUUCUUUUAGCAGGAAAGAACACAAUGACGGUACCUGCAGAAAAAGCACCGGCUAACUCUGUGCCAGCAGCCGCGGUAAUACAGAGGGUGCAAGCGUUAUUCGGAUUUACUGGGCAUAAAGAGCGCGUAGGCGGUUUAAUAAGUCUGAUGUGAAAUCCCUGGACCCAAUCCAGGAAGUGCAUCGGAUACUGUUAGACUCGAGUACAGGAGGGGAGAGCGGAAUUCCAGGUGUAGAGGUGAAAUUCGUAGAUAUCUGGAGGAACAACAGUGGCGAAGGCGGCUCUCUGGACUGUUACUGACGCUGAGGCGCGAAAGCGUGGGGAGC
rnacentral:rRNA from 1 species